rnacentral:rRNA from 1 species
AGAGUUUGAUCCUGGCUCAGGAUGAACGCUGGCGGCGUGCUUAACACAUGCAAGUCGAACGCACCUUCGGGUGAGUGGCGGACGGGUGAGUAACGCGUGGGAAUCUGCCCUUAGGAGGGGGAUAACGGCUGGAAACGGCCGCUAAUACCCCAUAUGCCGAGAGGUGAAACGAAUUUCGCCUGAGGAUGAGCCCGCGUCUGAUUAGCUAGUUGGUGGGGUAAGAGCCCACCAAGGCGACGAUCAGUAGCUGGUCUGAGAGGAUGAUCAGCCACACUGGGACUGAGACACGGCCCAGACUCCUACGGGAGGCAGCAGUGGGGAAUUUUCCGCAAUGGGCGAAAGCCUGACGGAGCAACGCCGCGUGAGGGAUGAAGGCCUCUGGGCUGUAAACCUCUUUUCUCAAGGAAGAAGACAUGACGGUACUUGAGGAAUAAGCCACGGCUAAUUCCGUGCCAGCAGCCGCGGUAAUACGGGAGUGGCAAGCGUUAUCCGGAAUUAUUGGGCGUAAAGCGUCCGCAGGCGGCUCUGUAAGUCUGUUGUUAAAGCGUGGAGCUCAACUCCAUUUCAGCAAUGGAAACUACAGGGCUUGAGUGUGGUAGGGGCAGAGGGAAUUCCCGGUGUAGCGGUGAAAUGCGUAGAUAUCGGGAAGAACACCAGUGGCGAAGGCGCUCUGCUGGGCCAUAACUGACGCUCAUGGACGAAAGCCAGGGGAGCGAAAGGGAUUAGAUACCCCUGUAGUCCUGGCCGUAAACGAUGAACACUAGGUGUCGGGGGAAUCGACCCCCUCGGUGUCGUAGCCAACGCGUUAAGUGUUCCGCCUGGGGAGUACGCACGCAAGUGUGAAACUCAAAGGAAUUGACGGGGGCCCGCACAAGCGGUGGAGUAUGUGGUUUAAUUCGAUGCAACGCGAAGAACCUUACCAGGGUUUGACAUCCUGCGAAUCCCUUGGAAACUUGGGAGUGCCUUCGGGAGCGCAGAGACAGGUGGUGCAUGGCUGUCGUCAGCUCGUGUCGUGAGAUGUUGGGUUAAGUCCCGCAACGAGCGCAACCCACGUCUUUAGUUGCCAGCAUUCAGUUGGGCACUCUAGAGAGACCGCCGGUGAUAAACCGGAGGAAGGUGUGGAUGACGUCAAGUCAUCAUGCCCCUUACAUCCUGGGCUACACACGUACUACAAUGCUACGGACAGAGGGCAGCAAGCUCGCGAGAGUUAGCAAAUCCCAUAAACCGUGGCUCAGUUCAGAUCGUAGGCUGCAACUCGCCUACGUGAAGGAGGAAUCGCUAGUAAUCGCAGGUCAGCAUACUGCGGUGAAUACGUUCCCGGGCCCUGUACACACCGCCCGUCACACCAUGGAAGUUGGCCAUGCCCGAAGUCGUUACU